AGCGUACACGGUGGAUGCCCUGGCAGUCAGAGGCGAUGAAGGACGUGCUAAUCUGCGAUAAGCGUCGGUAAGGUGAUAUGAACCGUUAUAACCGGCGAUUUCCGAAUGGGGAAACCCAGUGUGAUUCGUCACACUAUCAUUAACUGAAUCCAUAGGUUAAUGAGGCGAACCGGGGGAACUGAAACAUCUAAGUACCCCGAGGAAAAGAAAUCAACCGAGAUUCCCCCAGUAGCGGCGAGCGAACGGGGAGCAGCCCAGAGCCUGAAUCAGUGUGUGUGUUAGUGGAAGCGUCUGGAAAGGCGCGCGAUACAGGGUGACAGCCCCGUACACAAAAAUGCACAUACUGUGAGCUCGAUGAGUAGGGCGGGACACGUGGUAUCCUGUCUGAAUAUGGGGGGACCAUCCUCCAAGGCUAAAUACUCCUGACUGACCGAUAGUGAACCAGUACCGUGAGGGAAAGGCGAAAAGAACCCCGGCGAGGGGAGUGAAAAAGAACCUGAAACCGUGUACGUACAAGCAGUGGGAGCACGCUUCGGCGUGUGACUGCGUACCUUUUGUAUAAUGGGUCAGCGACUUAUAUUCUGUAGCAAGGUUAACCGAAUAGGGGAGCCGAAGGGAAACCGAGUCUUAACUGGGCGUUAAGUUGCAGGGUAUAGACCCGAAACCCGGUGAUCUAGCCAUGGGCAGGUUGAAGGUUGGGUAACACUAACUGGAGGACCGAACCGACUAAUGUUGAAAAAUUAGCGGAUGACUUGUGGCUGGGGGUGAAAGGCCAAUCAAACCGGGAGAUAGCUGGUUCUCCCCGAAAGCUAUUUAGGUAGCGCCUCGUGAAUUCAUCUCCGGGGGUAGAGCACUGUUUCGGCAAGGGGGUCAUCCCGACUUACCAACCCGAUGCAAACUGCGAAUACCGGAGAAUGUUAUCACGGGAGACACACGGCGGGUGCUAACGUCCGUCGUGAAGAGGGAAACAACCCAGACCGCCAGCUAAGGUCCCAAAGUCAUGGUUAAGUGGGAAACGAUGUGGGAAGGCCCAGACAGCCAGGAUGUUGGCUUAGAAGCAGCCAUCAUUUAAAGAAAGCGUAAUAGCUCACUGGUCGAGUCGGCCUGCGCGGAAGAUGUAACGGGGCUAAACCAUGCACCGAAGCUGCGGCAGCGACACUAUGUGUUGUUGGGUAGGGGAGCGUUCUGUAAGCCUGUGAAGGUGUGCUGUGAGGCAUGCUGGAGGUAUCAGAAGUGCGAAUGCUGACAUAAGUAACGAUAAAGCGGGUGAAAAGCCCGCUCGCCGGAAGACCAAGGGUUCCUGUCCAACGUUAAUCGGGGCAGGGUGAGUCGACCCCUAAGGCGAGGCCGAAAGGCGUAGUCGAUGGGAAACAGGUUAAUAUUCCUGUACUUGGUGUUACUGCGAAGGGGGGACGGAGAAGGCUAUGUUGGCCGGGCGACGGUUGUCCCGGUUUAAGCGUGUAGGCUGGUUUUCCAGGCAAAUCCGGAAAACUAAGGCUGAGGCGUGAUGACGAGGCACUACGGUGCUGAAGCAACAAAUGCCCUGCUUCCAGGAAAAGCCUCUAAGCAUCAGGUAACAUCAAAUCGUACCCCAAACCGACACAGGUGGUCAGGUAGAGAAUACCAAGGCGCUUGAGAGAACUCGGGUGAAGGAACUAGGCAAAAUGGUGCCGUAACUUCGGGAGAAGGCACGCUGAUAUGUAGGUGAAGCGACUUGCUCGUGGAGCUGAAAUCAGUCGAAGAUACCAGCUGGCUGCAACUGUUUAUUAAAAACACAGCACUGUGCAAACACGAAAGUGGACGUAUACGGUGUGACGCCUGCCCGGUGCCGGAAGGUUAAUUGAUGGGGUUAGCGGUAACGCGAAGCUCUUGAUCGAAGCCCCGGUAAACGGCGGCCGUAACUAUAACGGUCCUAAGGUAGCGAAAUUCCUUGUCGGGUAAGUUCCGACCUGCACGAAUGGCGUAAUGAUGGCCAGGCUGUCUCCACCCGAGACUCAGUGAAAUUGAACUCGCUGUGAAGAUGCAGUGUACCCGCGGCAAGACGGAAAGACCCCGUGAACCUUUACUAUAGCUUGACACUGAACAUUGAGCCUUGAUGUGUAGGAUAGGUGGGAGGCUUUGAAGUGUGGACGCCAGUCUGCAUGGAGCCGACCUUGAAAUACCACCCUUUAAUGUUUGAUGUUCUAACGUUGACCCGUGAUCCGGGUUGCGGACAGUGUCUGGUGGGUAGUUUGACUGGGGCGGUCUCCUCCUAAAGAGUAACGGAGGAGCACGAAGGUUGGCUAAUCCUGGUCGGACAUCAGGAGGUUAGUGCAAUGGCAUAAGCCAGCUUGACUGCGAGCGUGACGGCGCGAGCAGGUGCGAAAGCAGGUCAUAGUGAUCCGGUGGUUCUGAAUGGAAGGGCCAUCGCUCAACGGAUAAAAGGUACUCCGGGGAUAACAGGCUGAUACCGCCCAAGAGUUCAUAUCGACGGCGGUGUUUGGCACCUCGAUGUCGGCUCAUCACAUCCUGGGGCUGAAGUAGGUCCCAAGGGUAUGGCUGUUCGCCAUUUAAAGUGGUACGCGAGCUGGGUUUAGAACGUCGUGAGACAGUUCGGUCCCUAUCUGCCGUGGGCGCUGGAGAACUGAGGGGGGCUGCUCCUAGUACGAGAGGACCGGAGUGGACGCAUCACUGGUGUUCGGGUUGUCAUGCCAAUGGCACUGCCCGGUAGCUAAAUGCGGAAGAGAUAAGUGCUGAAAGCAUCUAAGCACGAAACUUGCCCCGAGAUGAGUUCU
rnacentral:rRNA from 1 species